AGUGAACGCUGGCGGUAGGCCUAACACAUGCAAGUCGAACGGCAGCACAGUAAGAGCUUGCUCUUACGGGUGGCGAGUGGCGGACGGGUGAGGAAUACAUCGGAAUCUACUUUUUCGUGGGGGAUAACGUAGGGAAACUUACGCUAAUACCGCAUACGACCUACGGGUGAAAGCAGGGGAUCUUCGGACCUUGCGCGAUUGAAUGAGCCGAUGUCGGAUUAGCUAGUUGGCGGGGUAAAGGCCCACCAAGGCGACGAUCCGUAGCUGGACUGUGAGGAGGAUCAGCCACACGGGAACUGGGACACGGUCCAGACUCCUACGGGAGGCAGCAGUGGGGAAUAGUGGACAAUGGGCGCAAGCCUGAUCCAGCCAUACCGCGUGUGUGACGGAGGCCUUCGGGUUGUAAAGCCCUUUUGUUGGGAAAGAAAAGCAGCAGGUUAAUACCCCGCUGUUCUGACGGUACCCAAUGAAUAAGCACCGGCUAACCUCGUG
rnacentral:rRNA from 1 species